rnacentral:rRNA from 1 species
AUCCAGACUCCUACGGGAGGCAGCAGUGGGGAAUAUUGCACAAUGGGGGAAACCCUGAUGCAGCGACGCCGCGUGAGUGAAGAAGUAUCUCGGUACGUAAAGCUCUAUCAGCAGGGAAGAAAAUGACGGUACCUGACCAAGAAGCCCCGGCUAACUACGUGCCAGCAGCCGCGGUAAUACGUAGGGGGCAAGCGUUAUCCGGAUUUACUGGGUGUAAAGGGAGCGUAGACGGCAGUGCAAGUCUGAAGUGAAAAUCCAGCGCUUAACGUUGGAAGUGCUUUGGAAACUGCCGGGCUAGAGUGCAGGAGGGGCAGGCGGAAUUCCUAGUGUAGCGGUGAAAUGCGUAGAUAUUAGGAGGAACACCAGUGGCGAAGGCGGCCUGCUGGACUGCAACUGACGUUGAGGCUCGAAGGCGUGGGGAGCAAACAGGAUUAGAUACCCUGGUA